rnacentral:tRNA from 3 species
GGCCCGGUAGCUCAGUUGGUAGAGCACUCGCCUGAAGAGCGAGGUGUCAUCAGUUCAAAUCUGAUCUGGGCCACCA